AAGGCGAGAGAGAGAGAGAGAGAGAGAGAAGCUGUCGGUAACGCUAAUAAACAGGUCCUCAGCCUUAACCGCCCGACCACCCGCCCGACAGCUACCAACAAAACCCUCGAAAACUCUGCAUAUCUCUACUCCUAUCUUCUUUAGGUCCUGGAGGCGGCGUGCUUCUGUGCCUCUCUGUUCCCCUGACCCUCGAAACCGCUCCCGUUGUCUCACUUUUCCGCCUUUUCGCCGUUUUUUGUUCUUGGGAAGGGACGUUAGCCGCCGCCCCGCUACGCCGCGCCCUGCCCCGCCAUUUGCCUAUCGCCUGACCCGUUGUAAAGUUAAGUGGCUGUGGCCUGGCGGGAAGGCGCUUGUGGUUGGGAGAAGUGUGAGGAUGGCCUACCGCUGGUCCUCUUCCUCCUCCUCUUCUGCCUUAUCUUGCUAAUUUAUUCCUUUUUACUGCAUUUUUCCUCCUCCUUCAUGUCUUUGUUCUUCCGCACUUCAAUUUUCUCCUUAUUCUUCCUCCUCCUCCUGCUCCUCUUCCUCUGCCUUUCCUAAUUUAUUCCUUUUUACUGCAUUUUUUCCUCCCUUCAUGUCUUUCUUCCGUUCUCUUCAUUCCUUCUAUUCCUCCUCCUCCUCUUCCUCUUCUUCUGUUUUCCUAAUUUAUUCCUUUUAGUGCUUUUUCCUUUCCUUCAUGUCUGUUUUUCCAUUCUCUUCAUUCCUCCUAUUCCUCCUCCUCCUCCUCCUCGUUGCUCCCUAUACCAAUAAAGUAGUGGAUGAGUGGAACAGGCUUGGCAGUAAGUUGAGUGGUAAUGCAAUAGAUACAUUCAUGAGAUAGUGUGGUUAGGUGGGGUUGGGUUUACAAGAGCUAGAUAAAUUCAUGGAUUGUGUGGUUAGGUGGGGCUGGGUUUACAAGAGCUAGAUAAAGUCAUGGAUUGUGUGAUUAGGUGGGGCUGGGUUUACAAGAGCUAGAUAAAGUCAUGGAUUGUGUGAUUAGGUGGGGUUGGGUUUACAAGAGCUAGAUAAAUUCAUGGAUUGUGUGAUUAGGUGGGGUUGGGUUUACAAGAGCUAGAUAAAUUCAUGGAUUGUGUGAUUAGGUGGGGGUUGGGUUUACAAGAGCUAGAUAAAGUCAUGGAUUGUGUGAUUAGGUGGGGUUGGGUUUACAGGAGCUGCGUUGCAUAGUCCUGCCGAUCUCUUGCAGACUCUUAUGUUUAUGUUCUUUAUUCUUCUUCUUCAUCCUCUCAUUUUACUUUACUUCCUUCAUCACAUUUAUAUUCCCUCACAGUCUACCUGAUUGUUUACUUCUUCUUCGUCGUCGUCUUCGUCUUAUUAUUAAAAAGGUUGUUUAUUUUUUACUUUAAUGCAUGUAGUUUCUCUUCCUUCUCCUUCUGAUUGUUUACUUCUUCUUCCUCUUCUUCUUCUUCGUUGUCGUCGUCGUCGUCUUCGUCUUAUUAUUAAAAAGGUUGUUUAUUUUUUACUUUAAUGCAUGUAGCCUUUCUCCCUUCUUUUUCUGUCCUUUUUUUAAUAUUUUCUUCCUCUCGUUUAUCCUUUUCUCCCUUUCCCUUUAUCUCUUCCCACUUUAUAACACUUUUAGUCCCUUCUCAUAUUAUUCAUUCUCAUUCACCUCCACUUCUUCCUUCUCUUCCUGGCCUCACUCCUCUCCCUCACACCCUUCCUUGAUCUUUACUGCUCUCCUGCUUACACCUUCUUCUGCCCAUCAUGUAUUCCUCCUUUCAUUAAUGUGUUGCCUUCAUUCUUUAUUAAAUUUAUUCCUUGCCCUCUCUUCUUCUUCUUCUCUUCUCCGAGCUAUUUCCUCUUCUUCCCCUCAUCUUUUAAGCCCUUCCUUCACCUGUCUCCCCUCUCUUAUAUCUCCUCCUCCUCCUCCUCCUCCUCCUCCUCCUCCUCCUCCUCCUCCUCCUUCCCUUCAAUCUUCACCUCUUCACACUUACCUUUCCUCCAUCCCUCAUUCAUUCAUCACUCCUUCAUUAUUCCUCCUCCUCCUCCUCCUCCUCCUUCUCCUCCUCUUCCUCAUUUGUUUACCUCUCUACCUCCCUCUCGGCACCUUCCCCCUCCUUCCACCUGUGACACUCUUCUCCUCCUCCUCCUCCUCCUCUUCCUUCUCCUCCUGCUUCCUUCAUUUGUUUAUAUCAUGCCUCCUUUCCUUCCCUCCUAAACCUUUCGGCACCUCCCUUCUUCCUCCACCUGUGGCACUCCUCCUCCCCCUCUCCUCCUCCUCCUCCUCCUCCUCCUCCUCCUGACCUUGCCCUGGGCCUCCUCCCACCCCCAAAUACGGAACCACUCACUCAGCCGCUACGUAAACACACACACACACACAC